AGCAGCCGCCGCGGGAAUACAGAGGGUGCGAGCGUUAAUCGGAUUUACUGGGCGUAAAGCGUGCGUAGGCGGCUUUUUAAGUCGGAUGUGAAAUCCCUGAGCUUAACUUAGGAAUUGCAUUCGAUACUGGGAAGCUAGAGUAUGGGAGAGGAUGGUAGAAUUCCAGGUGUAGCGGUGAAAUGCGUAGAGAUCUGGAGGAAUACCGAUGGCGAAGGCAGCCAUCUGGCCUAAUACUGACGCUGAGGUACGAAAGCAUGGGGAGCAAACAGGAUUAGAUACCCGGGUAGUCCCUGUCUCUUAUAA
rnacentral:rRNA from 1 species